UACGGAGGGGGCUAGCGUUGUUCGGAAUUACUGGGCGUAAAGCGCACGUAGGCGGACCUGCAAGUCGGGGGUGAAAGCCCGAGGCUCAACCUCGGAACUGCCUUCGAUACUGCGGGUCUCGAGUCCGGGAGAGGUGAGUGGAAUUCCUAGUGUAGAGGUGAAAUUCGUAGAUAUUAGGAAGAACACCAGUGGCGAAGGCGGCUCACUGGCCCGGUACUGACACUGAGGCACGAAAGCGUGGGGAGCAAACAGG
rnacentral:rRNA from 1 species